GCCUCGGUGGCGGAAUUGGUAGACGCGCUGGACUUAAAAUCCAGUGGUUGUAUAAACCGUGCCGGUUCGAUUCCGGCCCGAGGCACCA
rnacentral:tRNA from 1 species